rnacentral:rRNA from 1 species
GAUGAACGCUGACAGAAUGCUUAACACAUGCAAGUCCACUUGAAUUUGGGUUUUUAACUUCGGUUUGGGUGGCGGACGGGUGAGUAACGCGUAAAGAACUUGCCUCACAGCUAGGGACAACAUUUGGAAACGAAUGCUAAUACCUAAUAUUAUGAUAAUAGGGCAUCCUAUAAUUAUGAAAGCUAUAAGCGCUGUGAGAGAGCUUUGCGUCCCAUUAGCUAGUUGGAGAGGUAACGGCUCACCAAGGCGAUGAUGGGUAGCCGGCCUGAGAGGGUGAUCGGCCACAAGGGGACUGAGACACGGCCCUUACUCCUACGGGAGGCAGCAGUGGGGAAUAUUGGACAAUGGACCAAGAGUCUGAUCCAGCAAUUCUAUGUGCACGAUGAAGUUUUUCGGAAUGUAAAGUGCUUUCAGUUGGGAAGAAAGAAAUGACGGUACCAACAGAAGAAGUGACGGCUAAAUACGUG